AAAAUGGCAAAGAGAGAUAUCUGAGUCAGGCAGCCUGCAUAGGAGAUGACUCUGCUGUGAGAUUGGAUGUCCACAAUCAUCUUGGGGACCAUGGUGGAGGUGAAACCGAUGUCAGGCAAGGACAGGUUGGAGAGGAAGAAGUACAUGGGGGUGUGGAGGUGGGAGUCAGGGCUGACGGCCAGGAUGAUGAGCAGGUUCCCCAGCACCAUGACCAGGCACAUGGACAGGAACAGCCCAGCGAGGACCGGCUGCAGUUCUGGAUCCUCUGAGAGUUCUAGGAGGAGGAAUAUAGAGACACCUGUUAGACUCUGUCGGUCUGUAGAGUUUGGACACCUUUCACCCAGAAAAGAGGGUUAAAAAAUCGGAAACAAGUAAACCAACACCCAGCAUUGUGUCUGCAUUUUGGAUAGAAGCAAUUCACAAGCAAUGUUUUCAGAUUCCACAGCAAUCCACGCUCAGCAAUAUUUUGCAGUUCUGACAAACUCAAUAAUUCAGUUUGCCUUUACUUUAUGCAUCCAUCAUGUAGAGAUCACGAAGCGGGCACCCACGAUCGGUUUAAUCAUCGCUCACUUCCAUUGGCUCAAUUAGAAAUCAACUCAGAUGAGAGUGCUGAGUCUCAGAGGAUGGACAUCUCACCCCUUAACUGUACAGAUAAGUAGAAAGGGUGGUAUUGAAAAUUAAUGGCCAGACUCUAAGUCCCGGGUACUAUACAUGAUGGUCUUCCAACUCUCAAAAAGUUGUGGGUUUUUCUGUUUUUGUUUUUGUUUUUUUGAGACGGAGUCUCGUUCUGUUGCCCAGACUGGNNNNNNN
rnacentral:lncRNA from 1 species